rnacentral:rRNA from 1 species
GAUCCUGGCUCAGGAUGAACGCUAGCGGCAGGCUUAACACAUGCAAGUCGAGGGGCAGCAUAAUGGAUAGCAAUAUCUAUGGUGGCGACCGGCGCACGGGUGCGUAACGCGUAUGCAACCUACCUUUAACCCAGGGGGAUAACACUGAGAAAUUGGUACUAAUACCCCAUAACAUCAUGAGAGGCAUCUUUUAUGGUUGAAAAUUCCGAUGGUUAGAGAUGGGCAUGCGUUGUA